rnacentral:lncRNA from 1 species
CAUCAAAUUUUUGGAAAAUAAUUGGGCACAUUCAGUAUCAAAUGGAACCAGAUCCACGUUUUACAUAAUUAAUAGGUAGAUUAUGAUGCAAUAAACUUAUUUAUGGGGAAAAUACAUAAAACGCAUUCACAUUAAACAUCAUACCACAAUUUUUUAAAGUGUUGUCAAACAAAUUGUAAUUGAUGCAAUCAAAGGCACGGUGUCAACUUUUUGCAGUGGAUAUGAUGGAUAUGGAAACAGUGAUUCGAUCGGGUGCUUGAUUUUUCUUUCUUCUUCUUAGUUUGUUUGUGUGACGAUUUGGUUUUGUCUUUCUUUUUUCUAGUUUUUCUUCUUCCAUCUUUCUGGGUUGGGUUUGUGUGAUGAGAGAGGAUUUUGUAUGUGGGAAAGAGGAGAAAGCGAG